ensembl:lncRNA
UUGGUGAUAACAAGGGAAGUUACUUGGAAUGAACAGCACACUGCUAUAUCCUGAAUACAUCUUUGCUAUGCUUUCAUGGAAAUCAAGGUCUAGACAAGGCAAUUACAUGCUAUGUAUUACAGGGACUUUCUAACAAAAUUGAUGAUUGAUACUCGCUCAGCUUGGAUACUAAGACAGAUCUUCAGAUGGUAUUGGAUCAUUCUCUGGAGAUAUUCAAGACCUGUCUGGAUGCCUACCUGUGAAACCUGAUGUAGGGAGCCUGGUUCGGCAGGGGGAUUGAACUACACGAUCUCUGCAGGUCCCUUCCAACAAUUCUGAACAAUUCUACAAUUCUGUAAUUCUGUGGUUCUGUGAUCAUCUUUGCAGGAUAUGGUUUGAACACUCUGUAGAAAUAUCUGUAAAGCAGCUAAGUGCAUUCUGGGCUAGAUAUCUGUGUGUCUAAUUUCCUUGCAAUACAGAAAUAAAGGCUUUACAACAUGCU